rnacentral:lncRNA from 1 species
CCAAUUAGAUGAGAGUUUGCCUUCUGUUUUGUCUUUACAAGCUUCAACUUUUUUUGCUUUUGCUUUUUCUUUUUUUCUUUUUUUUUAUCGAGUGGUUCUUAUGAGUCUUAGAGGGAGAUGGUCUCGAUGCUUACAUUUUUGUACACAUAUUUAGUUCAAAGUUUCUCAUAUUUUUCAUGAAGAAAACUAUUGUGCUGAUAAGUUAACUAAUUUAGCUUUCAUUCAUAGAAAACAAUACAAGUAGUUUAAUGUUUUAUCUCCAUAUACUUAUUUAUAUUUUUUUCAUAAUAAAUAUAUUUUGUCUAUGUUUCGUGAAGUAUGAAUUUUAUCAGGGUUUGAUGUAGUCUCCUAUGCUUUGUAUUUUUUAUUUUAUUUUUUUAAUAAAUUUUC